rnacentral:rRNA from 1 species
AUUGAACGCUGGCGGCAUGCCUUACACAUGCAAGUCGAACGGUAACAGGGUGCUUGCACCGCUGACGAGUGGCGAACGGGUGAGUAAUGCGUCGGAACGUGCCGAGUAGUGGGGGAUAACGCAGCGAAAGAUGUGCUAAUACCGCAUACGUACUGAGGUAGAAAGUGGGGGACCUUCGGGCCUCACGCUAUUCGAGCGGCCGACGUCUGAUUAGCUAGUAGGUGAGGUAAAGGCUCACCUAGGCGACGAUCAGUAGCGGGUCUGAGAGGAUGAUCCGCCACACUGGGACUGAGACACGGCCCAGACUCCUACGGGAGGCAGCAGUGGGGAAUUUUGGACAAUGGGCGAAAGCCUGAUCCAGCCAUGCCGCGUGUCUGAAGAAGGCCUUCGGGUUGUAAAGGACUUUUGUCAGGGAGGAAAUCCCUAGCGUUAAUACCGCUGGGGGAUGACAGUACCUGAAGAAUAAGCACCGGCUAACUACGUGCCAGCCGCCGCAGUAAAAC